GCAAGGAGGGGCGGCUCCAGCUGCGUCUGACUCAGAGCUCCAGAGAAAGUUCCAGCUUCUCCCGGCUUGUUCUAAGGGCGAGCGGUUGGGGCAGAAUUCAGUGGUCUGGAAGCAAACCUGCAAUCUCUCCAAGGUAUAGCCUGUAUUGCCAAUGAGGUGUGAUGUGAAAACAGCCACUGAAGAUUCCCGGGUUGGCUCCUAGAUGAAGAUACUGAAACCUCCACCAGAUGGGAGAAAUUAACGAUGG